rnacentral:rRNA from 1 species
GACGAACGCUGGCGGCGUGCUUAACACAUGCAAGUCGAACGGAAAGGCCCUGCUUUUGUGAGGUGCUCGAGUGGCGAACGGGUGAGUAACACGUGAGUAACCUGCCCUUGACUUUGGGAUAACUUCAGGAAACUGGGGCUAAUACCGGAUAGGAGCUCCUGCUGCAUGGUGGGGGUUGGAAAGUUUCGGCGGUUGGGGAUGGACUCGCGGCUUAUCAGCUUGUUGGUGGGGUAGUGGCUUACCAAGGCUUUGACGGGUAGCCGGCCUGAGAGGGUGACCGGCCACAUUGGGACUGAGAUAUGGCCCAGACUCCUACGGGAGGCAGCAGUGGGGAAUAUUGCACAAUGGGCGGAAGCCUGAUGCAGCAACGCCGCGUGCGGGAUGACGGCCUUCGGGUUGUAAACCGCUUUCGCCUGUGACGAAGCGUGAGUGACGGUAAUGGGUAAAGAAGCACCGGCUAACUACGUG